UUUCCUACUGUCUCCAUCUUGCCCUACUGUCUCCAUCUUGUCCUACUGACUCCAUCUUUUCCUACUGUCUCCAUCUUGCCCUACUGUCCCCAUCUUGCCCUACUGUCUCCAUCUUGUGUAACCUUCUACUCAAAGAGAUUCGUUUGUCUCACAUGACACGGGCACCCCUCCUCGGAUAGCUAAAAUUCGACCAUUUCACUGAGGGCAGACGGUUAGGGGAACCUUCAUAGCGUAUCCUCACAUCGGAAUCGAGCCCUUUCGGCUGGGGAGCAGUCCUUAGAGGGUCAGACAGCUCAAAGAAUAGGGAAGCCGGAUGAGAAAAAGCUGCAGAUCAAUCUGUUAGUUCAAUUUACUCCAAAAGCUGGGAAGCAGACUGCCUAAACAGCCAAUACCUAGACCCAGAAAAAACUGAAGUAUUUCCCAGUGUGUGUAAAUACGAGAGGGCAAGAUGAGGAGAGCGCAGAAGAAGGGCUAAGCAGCUUCCCCAGAAACAUCAAUUCUGUCAGCCCCAUGUUCCAUUUCAACACAACAGAGAAUCUCUAUAAGAAGUAUGUGUUCCUUGACCCACUUGCUGGGGUCGUGACUCGUACUAACUCUGCAUUAGAAGGAGAUGAUGAAGACAAGCUUUUUUAAGCGCCCCUAUCCAUCACAAAGAGGGAGCAGCAAGUAGGCAGUUGGUCACUGGAUGUUCUAACAGGUUAUUGUUUCCUUCUUUCCCUUUAGACACCAGAGAAUUACUUCUAUGUACCAGACCUGAGACAGGUCCCCGAAAUAGAUGUCCCUUACUCUCUGCUGGACUUGCUGGGGGUGGCUGAUGAUCUCAUGUAUAGCUCUGACCUUGGGCCUGGUAUCGCUCCUUAUGCACCCGGAGUUCUUAUACCUGAUAUAUAUAAAUAUAUACAGGUAUGGGAUCCUAUAGAGAUACCAUUUUAUUUGUAACUGCACUGGAAAGCCCGGAAUGUGCUGAUCAUUGGCCACAAAAUUAUAUAUAUAAGUAUUAACAGGUAUGGGACUUUGUUAUCCAGAUCCCAGACCUGGGGUUUUCCGGA